rnacentral:rRNA from 1 species
GACGAACGCUGGCGGUGUGCCUAAUACAUGCAAGUAGGACGCAGUUGCGAACGGGUGAGUAACGCGUAGGUAACUACCUAUUAGUGGGGGCUAACUAUUGGAAAUGAUAGCUAAUACCGCAUACUAGUAGAUGGACCUGCGUUGUAUUAGCUAGUAGGUAGGGUAAUGGCCUACCUAGGCAACGAUACAUAGCCGACCUGGGAGGGGGAUCGGCCAAACUGGGACUGGGGCACGGGCCAGAAUCCUACGGGAGGCAGCAGUAGGGGAACAUCGGCAAUGGGGUGAAACCUGGCCGAGCAACGCCGCGUGGGUGGAAAAGGUUUUCAGAUCGUAAAACUCUGUUGUUAGGGAAGCGGUACUUAACCAGAAAGAAACGGCUAACUACGUGCCAGCAGCCGCGGUAAUAC